ensembl:snRNA U6 U6 spliceosomal RNA
AUGUUUCCUUUGGCAGCACAUAUGCUAAAACUGGAACGGUACGGAGAACACGAUCAUGGCCCCUGAGCAAGGAUGACACACAAAGUCAUGAAACAUUCCUUAUUUUG